UACGGAGGGUGCAAGCGUUAAUCGGAAUUACUGGGCGUAAAGCGUGCGCAGGCGGUUUGUUAAGUCCGUUGUGAAAGCCCCGAGCUCAACUUGGGAAUUGCAGUGGAUACUGGCAGGCUGGAGUACGGUAGAGGAAGGUGGAAUUCCCGGUGUAGCAGUGUAAUGCGUAGAGAUCGGGAGGAACACCAGUGGCGAAGGCGGCCUUCUGGACCAGUACUGACGCUCAUGCACGAAAGCGUGGGGAGCAAACAGG
rnacentral:rRNA from 1 species